UUGAGUUGGAUGAACACGUGCUUUUCCUAGAUGUAGUUUUCUAAUUAAAACUGUCCCAUUAGGCUGUAAUUGGCGCUAUCUGGGACAGGGUUGCAUGGGAGGGGAGCGAGAAGUCAGACUGAGAUGGUAUCGAGCCGAGGAGACAGGAAGCCUCUGUGUAAUCUCGUCAGGUUGGAGAUCGAGGCUGCGAUGAAGCCGGCUGGACUGAACCGUAGCUUCAGAACAACAUAAAAUCGUUGCUUCACGUCAUGUCAAGCUGGGCCUCGGAGAUCGCAUCGGCUCUGCCAGUAUCACUCAAUUCUUUGGUAGAAGAGUUUCUUGGACUCAACAUCCUCUUACUAGGGUGGAGGAGAGUAUCCGAGGUUCCGGUCUGUUUCAUCAGUGGAGCGGUGGAUGGAUGGAUUCAAGGGCUGCAGCAGGAACGGGGUGCUGGUUUGUCUCUGGGUUCUUGUGGAGAAUCAGCAGCUGUGUAAUCAGACCUGGCUCUGACCCCACCUGUCCGGAUGUUCCUCCACACUCUCCAUCAUGUCCAUGUGUCACGCACACGCUGAUGAACCGCUGGUCGCGUGCAACCUCUGAGCUGGCUCGACCUGCAGGCUGAUUUAGUAACGAUUCGCCACGACUGC